rnacentral:misc_RNA from 1 species
GGAAGUAAAAGUCAACAAGGUCUCCGUUGGUGAACCAGCGGAGGGAUCAUUACAGAGUUGCAAAACUCCCUUAAACCAUCGCGAACGUACCCGUACAUGUUGCUUCGGCGGCCGGCUCCAGGGCGGAGUCUUCUAGCCUUCACCGGCGACCGCCGGAGUGCCUAUGCUCCAAACUAUUAUCUUCGUGGGCCUCUCUGAGUAAUACUAUAAUAAGUAAAAACUUUCAACAACGGAUCUCUUGGUUCUG